CGGAAAUUAUAUAUAUAUUUUAUUUCCCCUUUCUUCAUCCUUUGUUCUUAUAUAUAUUUUCAGUGUGUUUGCCCAUUUUCAGAAAAGCAUUGGAAGGCCUAAAGUGAACUUUAAUUUUAGGUGAGGGCACCUAUGUUUUGAGACAUGUGACUCCUGACACCAUCAUUCAGCUCCUGUGUGACCUUGAUGCAAUCCAAGUGCUGUCAGGAUGCUCCUGAUGCUCCUGAUUGUGUUUUUACCUGGUACCUGUUUUGACCAUGCUGACCAGUUUUGCACCUAGUCUUCUUAAGCAUCAGCAGCACUACUACAAUUUGCAUUCUACUACCAGUCUCAUUCUAGCUGAUGAGGCUCAUAAAUGUUUUGGGCACAUAAGUAAUAUGUGAGAGUGUUCUGACAAAUCAAAAUCUCAUAUCUAGCACAAUUUCAUUCUUAAUUGAUUUACUGCUGCAAACAUGCACUAAUGGAUCUAAGACAAGUCCCUAAAAUGCAGAAUGUGUAUUGAUACGUAAAAUAAUCUUUGCUUCAUUCAGUACUUAUCCCCAUUAAAUGAAAUAUUAAGAAAUUAAACAAAUACAUGAUCUCCAACAAGCAAAUUUUUAACUGGUAUCUUAUUUUGUGUGAUAAUUGUUCCUCAUAGUACAAAUGAGAUGAAGUCAGAAAAUGAAUAAAACCACUUUCCUCUGGGGAUUUCACUGCCACUUGUAACUGCUCACAAAGUCUGUCAGGGCACCGCUGGGGCCUGCGCAGGCAGGGCAGGGCCUCGCAGUCAUGGCCGCUCCGGCCCCAGCCAGGCAGCAGGGCAGGAUGGAGGCAGCAGGACAGCCCCAACUCUGUCCAAAGCUUCUGUCACACAGCCCUAAGCUCUUCUCAUUGGAAAGUGGUGAAAGAAACGGUUAUCAAAGCAAUGAAUGCUGGAGUGCUCAGGAUUGUGACUGCAAUGUCCAUCAGGGAGGAUUAUUUUGAGAAAUAGUCUCCCCGUCUGUUGUCUCUUUCAAACAGUGUUAAGUAGUUUUUUUCCUCACUGGAAAGCUGUCCACAUAUUCUAUUUCCACUGUGCAGCAGCAGACAGGAAUGAACAAAUAAGAAACCUGAGUGGAGCAUUUUCAAAUAACAAUGUUUGUUUAACCAAGAGUAAGAAUGGUCUUACCUUCAGAAGGAAAAUUACACUCAUAAAGAGUGCAUCUUUCAAUGCACCAUAAACUGUGGCAUUUAAUUAAAACCCUUCAUAUCUCAACAACACACUCUGCCUGCAACAAGGCCACUUUUCGUUCUCUCCUCCCACCAGUGUAGCUUUAGUGGAGAUACGUGGGAGCUAGCAGAAAGGGGCACAGCCUUGCCCUUCUCAUCCUUCAGGGAGAAAGGUGUCCAAGAAGCGAUGGUGCAGCUGCCUGUUUCCCUGCCUGGUACUUCAAAGCCAAACUCUGGGCAAUAGGGUAAGCUUAUCUAUUUCAAGACUGGAAAGAAAGAAAUUUCAGAUGUAACAAACAAACAAACAAACAACAACAACAACAACAACAAAAACAAAUGGUGUCAGGGACAGUAGGCUAAUUAGCUUUAAUGCAAGUCAAAAUUGUCAAAAUUUCUGUAUUUUUGAUUUCCCACAUCUCCACCGAGGUCUGUGAAAUUUCAGUUUUGGAUCUGAACUUGUGAGCUUUGCCACACCUCUCUCUGUUUUUCUUAGUCUGUUUCAUAGACCCCG
ensembl:lncRNA